GCCGGGCGCGGUGGCGUGUGCCUGUAGCCCCAGCUACUCAGGAGGUUGAGAUGGGAGGAUCUCUUGAGCCCAGGAGUUCUGGGCUGUAGUGCCCUUCGGCAUCAAUAUGAUGAGCUCUUGGGAGCGAGGGACCACCAGGUUGCCUAAGGAGGGAUGAAACAGGUCAGGUCAGAAACGGAGCAGGUCAGAAACGGAGCAGGUCAGAACUCCCAUGCUGAUUGGUAGUGGGAUUGUGCCUGUGAAUAACCACUGCACCCCAGCCUGGGCAACAUAGCGAGACCCCGUCUCU
rnacentral:SRP_RNA from 1 species